AUUGAACGCUGGCGGCAGGCCUAACACAUGCAAGUCGAACGAGUGGCGGACGGGUGAGUAAUGUCUGGGAAACUGCCUGAUGGAGGGGGAUAACUACUGGAAACGGUAGCUAAUAACGCAUACCAUCAGAUGUGCCCAGAUGGGAUUAUCUAGUUGGUGGGGUAACGGCGCACCAAGGCGACGAUCCCUAGCUGGUCUGAGAGGAUGGUCAGGCACACUGGAACUGAUACACGGUCCAGACGCCUACGGUAGGCAGCAGUGGUGAAUAUUGGACAAUGGGCGAAAGCCUGAUGCAGCCAUGCCGCGUGUAUGAAGAAGGCCUUCGGGUUGUAAAGUACUUUCAGCUGGGAGGCGUUACCCGCAGAAGAAGCACCGGCUAACUCCGUGCCAGCCGCCGCGGUAAUUC
rnacentral:rRNA from 1 species